rnacentral:lncRNA from 1 species
AUAAAUAAAGUGAAUAAGUAAAAUAAAUUAUAUAUCCAAUUUCCCCAGAAUUACAGUAAUGUGAUAAAUAAUGUUCAGUUUCUUGCAGAGACCGAUUGUUUCUUUUCAUAAAACCUCAAUAUAUCAUCAGGAGCCACGGGAAUUAAUUUUGUGUGGCCUGCUAGUGCUUUUUUAACUCUCAAAGUGAUGGUAGCUGCUGACUUGCAUUUUAUGGAUCACCAAGGAUCACAGCGCUGCUGAAAAAACAAUAGAAACCAUCACAGAAACUUCUAAUGGUUUCCACUACAAAUACCAACUUUUAACCAUUAAAACCAUUAAAAAUGGUUUUCUGUAUUGUGUUUUGGGAAAUAUUCCAUUAAGAUUCAUUGGUUUUAGCAAGCCACCAAUAGAAGGUAACCAAUUAUCAGUAGAAACCCAAAGGGUCCAUUACAGUUUCCAUUAAAAGUCCCAUUAUAACCAUUACAAAUCAUGUGAUGGUGUCUAUUGUUUGUUUGUUUUCUCAGCAGGGAGUUUCAGCUAAAAAUCUUCUUUACUGUUCUACUGAAGAAAAAUAUUUGGGAUGGCCUGAGGGUGUGUAAAUUAACUGCAAAUCUACAUUUUGGGGUGAACUGUCCCUGUAAGAGCACUGUUUGUUCGUUUCAGACGGCGGGCUCACACUGCAACGCUCCACGUGUCAUUCCCGCCGGCUCGUCCUCACAGGAAGAUCUCUCUCUCAACCCGCACAUGAAUGCAUCCACCAGCGACUCGUUAUUAGCGCAGUGCAGAAUCAACCUGUUUCCCCAAGGAGACGUUAGCAUCACCGCCACAGGACACCUCAAUCUGCAGUCUUUACUAGCUGUGAGUAUCUCAGACAUUCUAAACAAAAAAAAAAAAAUAGUGUAUAUAUAUACAUAUACAGUACAGGUACAAAAGUUUAGAAAAAACUAUACAAAAAUACAAGAAAAACUGUAAUAUUGUGAAAUAUUAUUACAACUUAAAUAAUAGUUUCUAUUGAAUAUACUUAAAAAAAAAAAAUUAUUCCUGUGAUGCGCAGCUGAAUUUUCAGCAUCAUUACUCCAGCCUUCAGUGUCACAUGUAACAUCCAGUCUAUCACAUGAUCAUUUAGAAAUCAUUCUAAUAUUCUGAUUUAUUAUGAGUGUUGGAAACAGUUCUGCUGUCUAAUAUAUUUGAUGAAUAAAAGGUUAAAAAGAACUGCAUUUAUUCAAAAUAAAUUAUGUAAAUCAGAUGUGUUGCAUUUAUUCAGAAGCAGACAGCACCUUUCAAUGUAAGCAGCAUUUGUUUCAUACACGGGGCAAGAGGAAAUGCUGGUGACAGACACUUGGAUUGUGAUUUGGAGUGGUAAAACUUUACAGCAAAGGUUAUGUCAAC